UCAGGAACUUCUGGGAAGGCAUUAGGCCUGGUUAGAUGCUGGUUGCCAUGGAGCCCAGGGCCAGAGGCAGUUUCUGGUCGUGCCUAGGAGCUGUGCAACGCCAGCCCUUGAGGAGGAAGCCAUCUGUUUCUGGAAUCACCCUCCCCGCCACGUAUAUGAGACAUAUCCUUGAUUGUCCGUGAAAUCAGGUGGUCCAGGGCCAGGUUGGUCCAUAGAGAUGUUGACAAAACAAUGUAAAAGUUCAUCUAGAGAACUGAGUACUUAAGGAACUAUCACAAAAGAAGAAUGAGAGGGAAUGUCCACUGCCAGACACCAAAAUGUGUUCUAAGGUGAAAGUGUUAAAACAGCAUGUUGCUAGUGCCACUCCAGGCAAAAUCCUCAAGUGCUCUAAGGGCUUGGGCAAGUACCUUGCUCUAAGAUAGCCCUGACUUUGUGAGCUGCCUAAAGGCAUGAAAAUUCACAAUAUUCAAACACACUUCUGACAAAAACCAAAACAAGAUCAAAAACACAUCUGGAGCCCUGAAAUGGGGUACAGGGACCCAGUUUAUGAUCCUUGACACAAUAAACAGAAUAGAAAAUCCA
rnacentral:lncRNA from 1 species